rnacentral:rRNA from 1 species
GAUGAACGCUGGCGGCGUGCCUAAUACAUGCAAGUCGAGCGAACAGAUGAGGAGCUUGCUCCUCUGACGUUAGCGGCGGACGGGUGAGUAACACGUGGAUAACCUACCUAUAAGACUGGGAUAACUUCGGGUAACCGGAGCUAAUACCGGAUAAUAUAUUGAACCGCAUGGUUCAAUAGUGAAAGACGGUUUUGCUGUCACUUAUAGAUGGAUCCGCGCCGCAUUAGCUAGUUGGUAAGGUAACGGCUUACCAAGGCGACGAUGCGUAGCCGACCUGAGAGGGUGAUCGGCCACACUGGAACUGAGACACGGUCCAGACUCCUACGGGAGGCAGCAGUAGGGAAUCUUCCGCAAUGGGCGAAAGCCUGACGGAGCAACGCCGCGUGAGUGAUGAAGGUCUUCGGAUCGUAAAACUCUGUUAUUAGGGAAGAACAAAUGUGUAAGUAACUAUGCACGUCUUGACGGUACCUAAUCAGAAAGCCACGGCUAACUACGUG